rnacentral:sRNA from 1 species
AGGGGCGGAGCUGCUUUGCGGCCGGCAGCGGAGCAGUCAGCCGACUACAGAGAAGGGUAAUCGGGUGUCCCCAGCGCCGCCCGGGGCCCUGAGGGCUGGCUAGGGUCCAGGCCGGUGGGGACGGGACAGACGAACCAGCCCCGUGUAGGAAGCCCGACAAUGCCCCGCUACGGAGCGUCACUCCGCCAGAGCUGCCCCAGGUCCGGCCGGGAACAGGGACAAGACGGGACCGCCAGAGCCCCCGGACUCCUUUGGAUGGGCCUGGUACUGGCGCUGGCGCUGGCGCUGGCUCUGUCUGACUCUCGGGUUCUCUGGGCUCCGGCAGAGGCUCACCCUGUUUCUCCCCAAGGCCAUCCUGCCAGUGUACCCUGCUGUGGGUAACCAUGAAAGCACACCUGUCAAUAGCUUCCCUC